rnacentral:ribozyme from 1 species
UGAUGCUCUUCGAAUGUUAUCAUUAACUUAUCAAACAGGCUUGAUGAAGCCGCCAUUGUAAUUAUGUGAUGACACACACACAACUGAAAUGAAGCCGGGCCCGUGUAGAGACAGCGACUCUCUUUUGUUUGUUGUUUUGGUUGG